CGGGCAGGGGAGAGGGCGGCGGCGCUCCGGCCAGGGGAGGUGGGCGGCGGCGGUGGCGCUGUGGGCAGGGGAGGGAGGCGCUGCGGGUAGGAGAUGGGGCGGCUCUGUGGAGAGAGGAGGGAGGCGAAAUGGGCCGGCCCAAUAUUGUUAGGGUAAAGUCCUUUGCCGACUGCUUCCAGGUAAAGGCAAUCGGUAAAGGCAUUGGAAAAUAUUUUAUUAUAAUCUCUUUGCCGACUGUCCUACAUUAAGGCAGUCGGCAAAGAAUUUUUGUAUUUUUUUUCUUUUUUUUAAACAGCCACAACUUGCUCUUAAUUUUUUGAAAUUUUUAAUAUAGGUUCCACAUGUGAUAACAUUAAACUUCAAAAGGUUUUAUGAUUUUUUGACUUUUUUUUGCUAUAUUUCAUUAAUUAAUUUCUUUAAAUUGAUUUUUCCGCUACAUAAUCCUACUUUGAACUAUAUGUGCAUGAAAUAGUAAAACUUAGCCAUUCAAAAAAUGAUAUUCAUGUUGAAUAAUGUAUUUUUAGAAUAUAUCCAAAAACUAACCCAAAAUUUUGAAGUCCUUAUCCAUGGAACAUGAUCAUCCAGGUAUGGUAGAAGUGACUUUUAAUUAUAUAAAACUCAAACAAAAUCGGAAAAUUACGAAACUUGUUGAGGUAUCAUGUUAUCACAUGAGGAGACUAUGAUAAAUAUUUGAAAAAAUUUGGAGCAAGUUGUGACGUCAGAUGUACAAAACCCAAACACUUGCGCAUGUGUUCAUAUGUGAUC
rnacentral:lncRNA from 1 species